GGAAGGAAUAUUUAAAUGGGUUCACAGAGUGUAUUCAAUCUUUCAUCUCACUGAUAGAAUCUAUAUGAUACAAAGUGACAUCUCACGGUGACACUUCCAAGCUAAAAGCCUAAAACACACUGAACUAGAAGCUCUCACACCAUCAACAUCCUGAGAAGGAAAUUAACUAGAAAUAUCUAAUAACCUCCUCUUCUCUAUAAUACCACAAAUGAUUUAUGGGAUUAAUCCCAACCCUGAAAAUUGGAUAGGCAGAGAGAGAGAGAGAGACCCUUUUCAUAUUUCACACCAAUACACACCAACCUUUUCAUAGGGUAUGAAGAACAGCAACAAAAGCAUUUAGGGGCCCAUUGCUAUGACCACCAUUGUCAUUAUAUUACAAAUAAUAUCACAUUUAAAAUUAUACAAAUCUUUUAUAAUUAAUCAGUACUAAUCACCAUUAGGGGCUGUAAAGGGUUUAAAUUUCUCUUCUAAGUGAUUUUGGUUAGUUUUAGGCCCAGGUUAUAAAAGCUAAAACUGUCUGCCAGUGAAGGUUUGGCCAAAUGCCCAGUUGGGAGGAGCAACAUUGCUGGAGAUGAUAGAGCGUCCAUCACUUGUUGCGACCUUGAAAGAGAGUGCUUGACCAUUAAGGUAAGAGUUGCUUUGCCAAUUUUGGCCCCAGUUGCGAGACAUUGGUUGCCAACCAGUUCUAGAUCCUUUGAUGGAAACAGACACAACAUCACCAGCACCACCAACAUUGGUUAUAAGAACAAGGUUGAAGUAUGAAUGACCAUUUAUAGUGAACCUUAUUCCUCCAAUUUUCCUACAAGCAACCCUGCAGCCAAAGUAGAGAGAGUGCAGUUGCUUUUAAUGCUUAUAUAGUUAAUCAAUUUAUAGUAGAUUGAUUGGAGAAAGAUGCUCUGCUAUUGGAGAAAGAUGCUCUGCUACCAUCUUAAACGUUCAAUUACACUGAAAGCUUAAACAACUGUAGAAAAUUUAAUGUUUUACCUUCUGUAUUGAACAGGGACUAUCCCUGCUUUGAAAUGAGCUAUGUGUUGAAAAACAGGCUGAGAAAGAUCAAAGUGUUGCAAAGGAGGAUUGCACCAGCCUCCUGCAUUGCUUGGGAGAGCAUUGUUGGGUGGGCAAAAAUUUGUUGCUGUGACAAUUAUGGAACCUGUUAGGCACCACCUGGCAUCAUUUACACACCUGAUUUCAAAACAUGCUCCACAAGUUUGUCCAUUGUUGAAUAGAGCAGUGCUCAAUGCGGCAGUGUUCGUCCCAUAGCCUUGGCUGUAGAGGUUUCCAUAACCACAAGCUCCUCCCAUUGUACCAGAAGCAUCACCACCUCCAUAG
rnacentral:misc_RNA from 1 species